rnacentral:rRNA from 1 species
GAUGAACGCUAGCGACAGGCUUAACACAUGCAAGUCGAGGGGCAGCAUAAAAGUAGCAAUACUUUGGUGGCGACCGGCGCACGGGUGAGUAACGCGUAUGCAACCUACCUAUCAGAGGGGAAUAACCCGGCGAAAGUCGGACUAAUACCGCAUAAAACAGGGGCACCGCAUGGUGAUAUUUGUUAAAGAAAUUCGCAGAUAGAUGGGCAUGCGUUCCAUUAGGUAGUUGGUGAGGUAACGGCUCACCAAGCGGACGAUGGAUAGGGGAACUGAGAGGUUGGUCCCCCACACUGGUACUGAGACACGGACCAGACUCCUACGGGAGGCAGCAGUGAGGAAUAUUGGUCAAUGGGCGAGAGCCUGAACCAGCCAAGUCGCGUGAAGGAAGAAGGAUCUAUGGUUCGUAAACUUCUUUUGCAGGGGAAUAAAGUGCAGGACGUGUCCUGUUUUGUAUGUACCCUGAGAAUAAGGAUCGGCUAACUCCGUGCCAGCCGCCGCAGUAA